AAAAAGUACCCAAAAACAGACGAUCAUAAACCAUUUUCUCUCAUCGUUCUCCUCCACUUCCCUCAACGACUGCCCCCAGAAAUAAAUGGGCGGAGUUUGAUCAGCGAUUGGGUUGCAGU
ensembl:ncRNA F54H5.9 ncRNA